rnacentral:rRNA from 1 species
AUUGAACGCUGGCGGCAUGCCUUACACAUGCAAGUCGAACGGCAGCGCGGAGUUCGGUCUGGCGGCGAGUGGCGAACGGGUGAGUAAUACAUCGGAACGUACCCUGUUGUGGGGGAUAACUAGUCGAAAGAUUAGCUAAUACCGCAUACGACCUGAGGGUGAAAGUGGGGGACCGCCAGACCUCACGCAGCCGGAGCGGCCGAUGUCUGAUUAGCUAGUUGGUGGGGUAAAGGCCCACCAAGGCGACGAUCAGUAGCUAGUCUGAGAGGACGAUCAGCCACACUGGGACUGAGACACGGCCCAGACUCCUACGGGAGGCAGCAGUGGGGAAUUUUGGACAAUGGGGGCAACCCUGAUCCAGCAAUGCCGCGUGUGUGAAGAAGGCCUUCGGGUUGUAAAGCACUUUUGUCCGGAAAGAAAUCGCGCUGGUUAAUACCUGGCGUGGAUGACGGUACCGGAAGAAUAAGCACCGGCUAACUACGUG